UACGUAGGUGGCAAGCGUUGUCCUUAUUUACUUUUCUUAACUUUAGCGUAGGCGGAUACUUAAGUGGGAUGUGAAAUACCUGGGCUUAACUUGGGUGCUGCAUUCCAAACUGGGUGUCUAGAGUGUUGGAGAGGAAAGUGGAAUUCCUAGUGUAGCGGUGAAAUGCGUAGAGAUUAGGAAGAACACCAGUGGCGAAGGCGACUUUCUGGACAAUAACUGACGCUGAGGCUCGAAAGCGUGGGGAGCAAACAGGAUUAGAUACCCUGGUAGUCCACGCCGUAAACGAUGGGUACUAGGUGUAGGAGGUAUCGACUCCUCCUGUGCCGCCGUUAACACAAUAAGUACCCCGCCUGGGGAGUACGGUCGCAAGAUUAAA
rnacentral:rRNA from 1 species